UAAUAACUGAAUAAUGUGUCCUGACCCUGUUUCUUAAAUGGUCAUUUGUAAACUUGUGCCUCUAUUUU